rnacentral:rRNA from 1 species
UACGGAGGGUGCAAGCAUUGAUCGGAAUUACUGGGCGUAAAGGGCGCGUAGGCGGCUCGAUAAGUCGGAUGUGAAAUUCCGGGGCUCAACCCCGGAGCUGCAUUUGAAACUGUCGAGGUAGAGUACAGUUAGGGUAAACGGAAUUCCACGUGUAGCGGUGAAAUGCGUAGAUAUGUGGAAGAACACCGGUGGUGAAGACGGUUUACUGGGCUGACACUGACGCUGAGGCGCGAAAGCAUGGGGAGCAAACAGG